rfam:Aedes aegypti strain Liverpool supercont1.417 genomic scaffold, whole genome shotgun sequence.
GACUCGGUACCUUAGUUGGUAAAGCGCUCGUCUAGCAUACAAGAGUCCUGGGUUCGAAUCCCAGCCGAGCA